UCCCGCCGUGCAGCGCCGUUCACGUCGCUUA
rnacentral:sRNA from 1 species